UAGUAAAAAAUACAUUUUCUAAAAACAUUCAUUUCCUGAUAUUAAGAAAAUGCCGACAGAAUUUAUACUUAAGACUACCUCUAUCAUUGAUUUUCUUUUUGUUUCCACUACUCUCUGCCACAGAGAGUUAAGGAAGGUUGGUCUUAUCCCUGUUUUCCUGAACUUGAAGAAAUUUUUCCUUCAGAAAAGUAGCUGGCUGAAUUGACCUGACUUUCUUUCUUUCCUGGUUUUCUGCUUUUGUUUUCCACAAAGGUAAUGCCAAGACCUGCCUCUAAUUUUGUCCUCCUGCUGUCCUGCCCAGCCCAGCUGUUCCCACCCCCAUAAAGAUCCUAACUCUAUGCCUGACACAGAACAUUCUAGACUAAAACAGACUGUUAUCUUAGUCUCCGUUUCCUUUCAUGCCUGUUGCCCUAUCUGGCAGCUCUAUCUUUUGCCUCAUCUUCUUUUCUGUUAUUCAUAUGCUCCCUGGUCCCUGAGGGUUCAGCUGGCUCACUUGGCUUCUAACCCACAGCUCCCCAGACUCGGAGCUCCCAGGCCCAGAGCCCACAAUUCCUGUGGGUGUCCAUGUUUGAGAGGUUUUGUCACACCCUUAAGGAUGACGCAGGUGCAGCCUUUUAUCGGUUUCAAAGGUGGCUUUAUGUGGAGAAGGAAUCCAAAAGCUGUAGAAAGGAAAGAGAAAAAAAGCCCUCCCCAUCUUAACCCCUUAAGCUUUCCUCACAAAGAACAACAGAGUGAAACCGAACUAUUACGACACAGACGAGACACCGAAAUGGGACACGACAGAAGGGUUUUCACAUGCCUUUGACUUCCUUUUUUCACCCAGGGUACAGACCAAUCUUGGUAAAGACAGGAAUCUGUUUGACAAACAUGAACAUGACACCUAACACCCAACGCCCAUAUUGUUCUGCUCUGUUUUCAACAAGCCCUUCACCUCCCAACACUCAGGAACAAAAGCAACAGCCACAACCAAUCUGGAGUUACAGGGCUUUUACCUUUCUGGGGAGUUUCGCACUUUGGGUCCCAGGAAAGUCAAUUUGAGAUAUCAGAGGCAGCCCAGAGACAGAGCAGAAGACCAUGCUUUGUUGCCGGGCAGACUGGUGAGACAAAGGCCUGACCUGUUAGGGCUGCGUGUGGGAAACCAGGCUGGGAGGCCCAUUUGUACAAGUGGCAAGACAGCCAAAGAAGCAAUUCCAGCCUUACCGCUUCUGACAAAAUUUAGCCAAGAGUUGAUCUGCAGGGAAGAAAAUCCGCUGGCUGAUCCCCACUCCUUCCUUGACAAUCUGAGCCCCCUUCUAACUCAGCUGCAGAAUCUAGACAUCUUUGAAAAGCCUGUUCUUUGUUACUCAUUACCACCAGCUCCUAACCUUCAAAGCACCAGAACUGGACAGAAUCAAGUCACCUAACUUGUAUGUGCCUCAGGAUCCCACGUUUAAAACCAAGAUAAUACCACCCCGUCUCCUCUUCAUCACUGAGAUAUACUGAGGACCAAGAGAGGCGAGUGCCUGAGGGUCUUCCCCGAAGAGACCACCAAAGGCCCACAGUGUAUACAACACAGACCAGAGGGUCUGCCCUGGGACCCUUGGGGGGUCACCACGCUCUUUUCAGAUCUGCAAGAUCAAACUCUUUCCAAAACACCACUAGGCCACUCCUUCUCGUGCAGUACACAGUGGAGUCUGCUGGGGCCACAAGGUGUGUGAUGAUGUCAUCACUCUAAUAAUGACUAAUAGAAUGUGUGCUUGUGAGUUCUUGUGCUGUAAGAUUUUCAGUUUUAGAGUCUAGUUAAGUAUUGGUAGACAAAAGCUCUUUGGAAUCUUCAAUAACUUGCCCGUGGUUAAAGAGGCCCUGAGACCAGUGCAAGACCAGCCAAUCCGGAACUUGGUCCCACUGAAGCAUGCAGUUCCCAGGAAUGCCCACAGCUUCACCCUGAACAGGGAGUGGCCCAGAACGUUCUGCAGGCACUUGAUGGAAAAGACAAAACUCUAAGUGGUUCAGAGCGGCAUAAAUGCAGAUCGGCUCUGGGAAUGAUUCAAUAAACAGGUAGUAGCAAAAACAGCUUCCUCCUCAACAAUCAACAACUAUUCGUUGGGAACUCAAAAUGAACAAACGA